rnacentral:lncRNA from 1 species
AUGGACGCAGGAGCCGGUCCAGGAGGCCAGGAACACCGCCCCCGUUCUUGGGACCCAUCCCAUCAAACCAGCCGGACCGCGGGCCACGUGGACCACGGACGCCGUGGCCUUGGCCUCGCCCUGGAGCCCGCGGAGCUGAGACACUAUGGCAGCCGCAAGGACCGUGUGCUGCUCGGGCCCACGACGCCCCCCGGGUGGUCAGGUGGGUCCGGGUGGGGGCGGGGCAGCUGGGCGGCCGUGGGCCCGGGGCUCCUUGCCCGUCAGCGCAGCCCGGCCUCCCGAGUCCCGGGGACUGACUGGACAGGGCCUUCCCGCGGAGGGCAGCAGCACUGGGCCUGGCGGGGGCCCCGGCCGAGAAGGGAGCCCCGGGGCGGUCUGUGCCAGGCCCAGAGCUGGCACAGCCGUGGGGGAAGCGGCCCCCACACAAAAUCAGGGCAGAUCCUGAUCCUCGGGGCGAGUUCUCCAGGUUCUAGCUGUGUGACCGUGGGGCGAGUGGCCAGACCUCUCUGGGCGUUGGUUGGUGUCCGCGAAGGUGCAAGUGUGGCCCGCUCUGGGUGCGGGGUCCUCCCAAGCACUUGCCCGGCCCCGGGGAGCCUCGUCUCUGCUGUGGGACGGCCUUGGGGGGCGGGAGCCUGACCCCCACCCCGAGGCCCCAGACCACUCCCUUGCGGCUGUUGGUUGCGGGGGUCUCACCCCGGGCGUUGUCCCUGUCACCUCUGCCCGGGCCAGAAAUCGGGCCCCCUUGACUCCCCCCCCACCCACCGCCCCUUCUGAGUCUCGGGGCAUAUCCCAAUCUGAGUCCUUCUCUCCCCGUCACUGCCACCCCCGAUCCCAGCCCUGUCGCCUCUCACCCAGGACGGGAUGCCCUAAUGGCCUCGUUACUGUCACCCCACUUCCUUGUGCCCUCCCCAUGCCCGCGCCCCGCGGCCAGGCCCCGACUCACACCGCCCCUCUGUCCGCGGGGGGAGCCCUGGCCCGCUCCCACCUGGGGCCCCCAAGCCGCCGAGCCCUGGCCACCCGUCCUCCCCGGGACCUGACGGUCUCUCCUCCCUUCAGAACAGCG